CAACAUCAAAAUUAAUUUAGAACCAUAACUCAAUCAGUGCCUUUCAUAUAGCAAAUUGCUUUCUCUUAUAAGACAGAUAGAGACAUAAAACACAGAACAGUAAUUUUCAGGUACCUCUAAAUAAGAUUUCCUGAAGAUUUUGCUUUUAUACUCCAUAAUUAUCUUUACAAAUACAAGCAGAUUAAUCCUUGAUUUUACUUGAGAACAUAUGCUGAGGCAGUGUUUGGUUUUUUUUCAUUUUGCUUACACGUACAGAGAAUGAAGAAAUAAAAAGUGCUAAUCUACUGAACAAUAAAUACUUAAAACUGUUUUUCAGUAAAAAUUAUGUGAACAAUAUUAAACGCCAGUGAUAUAUGCAAUAACAGCACCUCUGUGUUCCAAAAGAAUCUUUCAGUAGGACACACUUAUGGAGGCAUGGGGAUUACUCCUUAUACCAAAUCCUCUUUAGCAACUGCAAGUCUUCCCUGUCCCCAUGCACACCCUACCUACUCCAGUCCCCCACAAACUUAUUACAUCUGAUCAACUUGUCCCACAUACGUAUGUUAUGCAGUUCCUUAAAUCUCCCUUCCUCAAUUUUCACACUCAAGUUUCAACCCUAGACCUUUUUACUGGGAGUUCAAAAAGUUCCAUCAUCCUAAAAUCCUGCAUCUCUACUGCUUCUGAUUAUUUUCUACUCUCUGUGGAAACGGUGUCUGCCUCCAUGAGGAAGGGUACUCCCUAAGAAUCUUUUUAGCUUCCUUCAUGUUACCCUCUUCAGCAGUUGCACUUUGUUUUUUUUCCAAGAAUGUUCAUUUGGACUCACAGGAAAUGAAUCAAAGUCCCAGUUUCUCUUUCAUGGCAGAAAAGAGCCCUCUUCUCAGAUUAAAUGCCUUAGGAGUGGUGGAAUAAAUGGAGAGAAGGCUACACCUUGCUACAAUCACUGUAAGAGUUAACUAGUUGGUAGGCUUCCUCCCAUGCUCCUCUUGGCUCAGGAAGAUACCCAUUCCAAGUGAAUAAUAAACCACUUGGCAAUAUAGUUUCUUUAUUUUUACAAAGUUUUCUGAAGUUAGUCACAGUAUUAGAGCUAAUUCUAUUUAGCUAGCAAUGAUUAGACAGGAAAGAUAGGUUGGAGCAAGUCUCCCUAACUCAGCUGAAGAAUUAUGAUUUGUGGUAUCAUAAAAAUCAUUCUAAUACAGACAGGAGUUUCCUAACAGGCUCACAGCUAUCUGCUUCCUUCCGUUCUACAGACAAAUCUCUAACACCCUUGGUAUGCAUGCCAGAAUUUAAUUUUAGCAUGAACUGGUAACAGAUUAGCACAAAACAACAUAAGUUUUUCCUCUCUCUGUAUUUAUUUAUUGUUUAUUAACUGGAAACGUUAUUAAUUUUUUCCUCCUGGAAUUCUAAAAUGGAUUAGUAGAGUCUACAAUGCAUAGAUAAUCUAGAAUAUCUGAAAACAAAACCUAAACAGACUUUCUCAAGUGAUAUUAAAUGCAACAUUUGGCAUUCCUGGGGGGUUAUUUUUUAUUUGCUUUUUCCUUGAGAGUCCUUGAAUAAUGAAUUGAGGACAUUUGCUGAUUGUAAGGAAAGCAAUCGUUUUAUUGAUAACUGUAAAUUCUAACUUUGGGGUUUUAGGUGUGCUUCAAAGUAUUUUAUUUUGUAAAGAAGUUCUAUUUAAUGAUAUCAAGAUACUUCAGAAUGGCUGAGGAACUUGGCCACAAACGUCAACUAGAAAAUCUGAAGUACCUAUGUGAAGAAAACCUAAAGAAGAAAUACAUUUUCCUCUGGAAGAAAAAAAGGAAGGCAGUCCUUGAGAUCUUCUACAGAAAGAAUGAAGUGACUAACAGUGUUUUUCACACCACCUAUAUAAAAACUCGGGAUUCUGCUAAUGCUGCUCUUCUAGCAAGAAAGAAAAAGAAACCAUUUACGAUCCAGAGGAAAAUGUUCUUUAGUUGCUUAACCUGAUGAGUCACUAACUUCUUAACUUUUAAUAAGAGCAUUUAUACUGCAGAUGAUGAAAAAAAAAGAAAAAAAAUGUAUUGGAAACAACAGGAAAAUUAUGUUUUUCAUCUAAGACUGUGACACAUGCCUUAUCUUCACAGAUGGCUGGCAAAACCCAACGCAGUUUGAACAAGUAAAAAUGAUACUUGGUUCUUAAAGAGGUUUCUCUCUUAGGGAAAUUAAGCUACUGAAUGCAACAAGUAGUGUGCGGGGGCAGGAGGAGAAUAUAAAAAUUUCCUGUUAUGGCUCAAUCAAACAGAAAAGCAUAUGGAUACUUGCUACCAUCUGUGAGUAUGGUUAUCUUUCCACGCUUUUUAAAAACUAAAUUUGCUAAGAAAAUAACAUGGUCAGAAAUCUAAACUUUAUUUUCUUUCAAAGGCAUUGAACAGUAGUCUCUAACUGUGAAUACAGCUACCCCAAUACAGAUAUGCCAAGAAAAGUCCUUAAUCCAGGUAAAUCCCAAAAAGAAUAUGAAAAGCAAAUAAUAAAUCCAUUAUACGAAGCAGUGUGUCAAACCACAGUUUUCACUUAACCACUACAGGAAUAUUAAUACAAAGCAAAAAUUCUAAAAACAACUAGAAGAUCAAAUUUGUGUGGUAUUUCUGGUUAAGCUUCAAGAGUAGAUGGGCUACGUAUUGCCCGUUACUUAGUAAAAGCAGUCUUUGUAUGACAGCAAGCUUUUGUGUCUAAUUUUCAGGAUUUUGGAUGAACGUGAAAAUACAUUCAAAAUAAAAGUAUUUAAUACAAUAGAAAAGGAAAACUGGAUAUUUUCUUUCAAGUUUUUCUUGUUCAAAAUACACUCUCUCCAAACAUUAGAGCUUCAGUUGUAGUAUCCCACACAUUACACAUAGAUGCACACCCACAUACAAAGAUACAGGCGCUUCUUUGAAGGGCAGUAAUUACUAUGGCAACUACUGUCACUGACACAGGCAGCUCCAUUUAUUUUAUCAUUUCCAGUAUACCCCUAGAAACAGCAGAACCCCAUGACAUCUGCAAUUACAGAGAUAAUUCAAUUCUAUUAUAGUUUAUCCAAUGACUUCAAAUAUGCCAUUUUUUAGAAAUAAAGUAACUUGCAACAUAAACUAAAUGAAUACAUGACUUUGUCAUAUAUGAACGUGUGCCUCACUGUCCUUCCACAUACAUCACUUCAAAAAUUGUAUAUAAGCACAUUCAAAAAGACAAAAAAAUCACUAUUUUUAUAACAUAUCUGGCUUUUAAAACACUCUAACAGGUGUUCAAAUAGUGUAAUGCUUACAUACAGAGUCAUAAGCAACACUGCGUUGCAACAACUUCUUACAGCUAAACUGCAGAAAAAAAAAAAAUCAGGCUCCAAAGCGCUAGUACAAUUAUUGCCCAUGGAGUUUUGGUAUGCUCUCUCCCUUUCUGGUAACUAGGCUGUAUUAAAUCAUAAACGCAUAUAAAUCUAUCCACAUACAAAUUUAAAUAUUACAGAACAGAUGACUGAGAAGCAAUUAAUUGAUAUUUUGUCUGUUUUACUCCACGCAAGACCUGACUUACUCUCUUUCCAAUAUUCACAUCCUUCUCUAAAUGAGCAGAACUGUUGAAAUAUUAGUUGCUGUAGC